AGCCGUUGGAUGUCUAAGCGACUCCUUCGGGAUUUUCAGUGAUUUCAUUAUGAUUUCAUAAAAUAUGAUUUUAUAUUUGACGUUGAUAAACCGAAACGAUGGUUGGUUUUUAAUAUUAUCACAUACGUGGAAUUAUUGUUAUUCACACGAACUUCGCUGCUUAUCCGAGUUGUUGUUUGCCCGGUGCACCAUUCUGAUGGUGUAGGGGCGAUUGUGCAGGUAUUAUUAGAUACGAGGAGCUUUAGGG
rnacentral:lncRNA from 1 species